CACAUGCUCCCUUAGAUCCAUCUUUGUGGAUGUCUUACUGGUGCUGAGUUCUGCUCGUAUUUACUAGCAGUUCCAGUUCAGCGAUAUCCAGCAACUUUCUGGUUGUACAGUCAAAGAUGCUUGAGUCAUUGGCAUGUCAGAUCAAUAUACCUGUGUGGCAGCUUUAAUGUUCUGAUGGCAGUGGCUGCAACCUGUUGUAUGCCAAGUUUCACCAUCAGGGCUUUGUUGUCAUAUGGACACU
rnacentral:snoRNA from 1 species